AUGACAUAUUCAUAAACGUAAAAAUUGCAGCACUAAAAUCAAGGCUUUGUUGAAUUGCUAAGAAAAUGUGGGCCGAUAAAAGAAAAACAAACUUGGGUUUUCAAUUGCCGGUGAUCCAAACGCAUAGAGAAACAAAUGCGUACAGUUGAGCGCGCCGGACAGCGUUCAACUGACUAGCAAAAGUUGAACCUUUUUCAAACAUUUGGAACCAAUACAACACGACCCAUAAGACCAAAAUUUCAAAUUUCUUUCCCAUUCCUUGUUUUUCUCAGCAACCAAACAGAAGAAGAAUACCCAGAACCGCACACAACUGA
rnacentral:misc_RNA from 1 species